rnacentral:rRNA from 1 species
GACGAACGCUGGCGGCGUGCUUAACACAUGCAAGUCGAACGAAGUGGCGAACGGGUGAGUAAUACGUGGGUAACCUGCCCUCCUUUUUGGGAUAAGCCUUGGAAACGGGGUCUAAUACCGAAUAAAGGGGGAUGGGCUCGCGGCCUAUCAGCUUGUUGGUGGGGGGAUGGCCUAACAAGGCGGUGACGGGUAGCCGGCCUGAGAGGAGUAACGGGCAAAAUGGGACCUGGGCACGGGCCAGGACUCUACGGGAGGCAGCAAUGGGGAAUCUUCCGGAAUGGACGGAAGUCUGACGGAGCAACGCCCGGUGAGUUGUGACGGCCUUCGGGUUGGAAAGCUCUUAUGGGACGAAUGCGGUACCGGAAUAGAAAGCCACGGCUAACUACGUGCCAGCAGCCGCGGUAAUUC